UUUUAAAAAGAAAAUAACUUAACGUAAUAUCAGCCUGGAAUAGAAAUAAGUAUAUGAAUGUGAAUGGUGUGUAUGGACAGUAUGUGAAUAGAAAUGGUGUGUACAGCAGUAGUUAUAUAGGAUGACCCUUGACUAGAAUAUGGUAUGUACAUAUGAAGUGGGUAAAACAGUAUGUCAACAUUAUUAAAGUGACCCGUGUUCAAUGACUGUUUACAUGGUUGUCGAGUGGCACAGCGGUCUAAGUCACUGCAUCCCAGUGCUUUAGGUGUCACUACAGACACCCUGGUUUGAUUCCAGGCUGUAUCACAACCGGCUGUGAUUGGGAGUCCCAUAGGGCGGCGCAUAAUUGGCCCAGUGUCAUCCGGGGUAGGUCGUCAUUGUAAAUAAUAAUUUGUUCUUAACUGACUUGCCUAGUUAAAUAAAGGUAAAAAACAUAUGGCAGCAGGGUAGAGUACCAGGCUGGUAGCCGACUAGUGACAGUGUCUAAAGUUCAGGACAGGGUACUGGGCAGAGGCCGACUAGUGACAGUGUCUAAAGUUCAGGACAGGGUACUGGGCAGAGGCCGGCUAAGAGUUAGAGAUUUCCUGACGGGAAAAGUAACCCCCACGGUUGAUUUAAAAAUAAAAAAAAGUUUAGUUGUUGUCCAUCCUUUUUUUUCAGACAAAUAAGUCAUCUCUACUGCCAUUUGGAUUGUACAGAGAGCAUCACUCGGCGGUGGUGCCUCUCCUCCCGCUGCUUCCGUGGGCGAUGCGAUCCCCUUGCUGUAGAUUUGAUUGACUGGAAACAUGUCGGUGUGGUGGUGGGAGCGACCCGGGAUGCAGCUGCUGGCAAGGGAGACGGGGAGUACCUGUACCCAAUCCACACAGCAUCACCUUUAAAAUGAUUAUAUGACGAUGCUUUAAUUUAAUGGAUCCGUUUAUGUUAUUAUGAUGCGUUGUUUUUUUAUUUGAAAUGAAUAAACAACGCUCAAUGGAUUUAUUACCUGAGGCUUGAUCGGUUGUGUUCUGAUUUUUGUUUCUGUUGUGGAGGUAGCCUACGCUAUCUGCAGAUUGUGUUUGAUGAUAUAGCCCUCAGCAUCAGUACCAGGUUCAAUCAGAAACACCUUGAUGAACCACCACCAGGAAAUACAAGGACUGUUGCAAUGGAGUCGCCUUUCACAUAGAUCACAUCUCAUCUGUAAACCAAUGUACAUAAUAUAAUAUACCACCACGUUUGCUGGCGUUUUGCAGGUCGCUUUAUUUCAUGGAGUUUUUUCCACCUUUAUUUUCUGAGUAGAUUUUUUUUUGAAGUACACAUAAAUAA
rnacentral:lncRNA from 1 species